rnacentral:lncRNA from 1 species
UCUCCAACUCAAGUUCCUGCACAAAAUCAACUCAAGUUCAUCAUGCUUCCAUGCCAUUUUAUUCAUUUAUAAUUCAACUUUGGAGCUAUAAAAAGGGUUGUUACCUUAUUCAUAUACUUUUCAACCACAGAAGGAAUAUCUGAUCGAGGUUUAUAGUUUCCAAAAAAAGUUCCCUUCAGAGUCCUUUCGUUCAACAGAUUCAAUGGACUUGUCUUGAAAACAGCAUCUUUAUGUGGAACACCCACAAGAACAGCAACACCCCAACCCUGUAAAAUUUUCAAUAUUUGUUAUUGUGAAAUUAAACAUGAAUCAUUAUAUGAGUGAGAUCGAAUUGAUUGAAUUCAUACAUCAUGAACACAUUCGAAGGCAGAUAUCAUAGCAUCAAUAUGACCAGUGCAUUCAACACUCCUGUCAACUCCUCCAUUUGUCAUCUCUGCAAUCACUUCCUGUACUGGUUUUUUGUAGUCUUUAGGGUUCACAAACUCAGUCACUCCAAAUUUCUUUGCUGUUGAAGCCAAAAAAAUUUACAUCAGAUUCAUCAAUCAUAUCAUAUGUCUAGUUUUUAUUUACAAUUUCAUGCAGCAAAAUCUUACCAAGCUCAAAUCUGUUGGCAUUGAGAUCAACACCAAUGAUCCUUGAAGCACCUGCAAUUCUUGCACCUUCAGCAGCCUGAUCACAAACAAACCAUUAGCUUUGUUUAGCCAUGAAUGAGCUUUUAUUUCGAGAAAGUUAGAUAUUUAAGAAAACUUACAGCAAGCCCCACAGCUCCCAAUCCAAAAAUGGCGACAGAUGAGCCUUUUUUAGGCUUUGCAACGUUCAGAGUAGCACCAAGACCUGAAGAAAACAUGAAUAUUGAUUAGGUCAGGAAAACACCAAAAUGCAAUUGUAAUCAGAGAAUGUUGAUUACGAUUUUGAUUUUGUACCUGUGGAGAUCCCACAACUGAGGACACAGACUUUGUCAAGAGGAGCAAGAGGCUUGAUUUUGGCGAGACAACCAACAUGAACGACGGUGUAUUCACUGAAAGUUGAAGUUCCGACGAAAUGGAAAAUGGGUUUUCCGUUGAUGGAAAAUCGGGAUUUUUGAUCGUGAAUCAUGACUCCCCUGUCGGUGUUGAUUCUCAAAAGGUCACACAUGUUGCUCUCUUCCGACUUACAGUGAGCGCAUUCUUUGCAUUCUCCGGUGAAAACAGGGAGGACAUGAUCUCCGGGCUGAAGCUCAGUCACUCCUUCCCCGACACUCUCCACAACCCUGUUCACGUCAGUUCAAUUGAUCAGAUUUUUUAUCCGAUUACAAAACCUUUUCGAUUUAAUACAAGAAUCAAACAUACCCUCCAGCUUCAUGUCCUAAAAUUCGGGGAAACACGGGAUUCUGACCCUGAAAAGUUCAUCGGAAGGUAACCAAGAUUCAGGAUUUGAGGUUUUGACAGAGAUUUAAGUAAAAGGGCCAGUAGAUUGGUUACCUUGGCUUCCCAAAAGUAAACAUCGGUGUGGCACAGGGAGGUGAAGAGUAUUUUGAUUCGAACUUCCAUUUUUUGGGGUGGCGCCACCUCCACUUCUUCAAUCACUAGUGGCUUUCCGGCUUCCCAUGCUACCGCCGCUGUCACAUUUACACUCAUCAUCAAGCACCGUACCAAACUUUUUCUUCUUGAUAGGGAAAUCACAAAAGAAAGAAUGAAAUGCUUACCUUUGCAUCGAAUCACCUGGUUAGUAGUGCUCGACAUUUAAUCUUUUUUUGUUAUCUGAUCGCUGAAACAGAGAAUCUGAAAACAACUUCAGUUGAGUUUGCUAAUUGCUUGAUAUGAAGGAGAAAUCUGAAGAAUUGUGUAUUUAUAGGUCGAGGGAGUGUAUAUACCAAAACUGUAAACCGACCACCAGGUUUUGAUUUGCCGGGUUUCCAUCGAUGAAGCCGUUGACAGGUUAAACCCACCGUUUAACGAAAACAAGAAACUGUAAAGUACCACUGAUGGUGGUUUUCCUUUGAAGAAUAUAUAGAUUGGGCCCACAGAGUCUCCAACAUUAAAAACAUUAAGAGUAAAUUACAGCGAUGGUCCCUGUUAUUUCUAAUUUCUAGCGUCCUUAGUCCAAAACUAAAGUUGUUUUCGAAUUUUAGUUGUUAUUUCAAGUUUUGUAUCGAUUUUUGUCCUUGGAAUUGACCUCGUUAAAUUCUUGGUGAUAUUGUCCUCACGUGAAAUUGUGCAUUACACCAAAUGUUUUAAAAAUCGGUUUUUUAGUUGAAUCAGCCUGGUAACCGAUUCAUGGUUAAAUCGUCGAUUCAACCAAAAAAGUUUCCUACAUCUGACAGUGUUAUGUGUCGGCCUUCGAGUUGUGUACACUCUAAAAAUGUUAAAUUUCUUUAGAAAUAUGUUGUUUUUCAACGGGUUAAGUAAAAUCCAACUAUACAAGUUUAAUAAACUAGUUCAAAUGGUUUUUUACCGGUUUUAACUCAGUUUUUGAAUAAAUCGUCCAGUUUGAUCCAAUCUAAAAAUUAACAUAAAACCGGUCAUUAUUGAACCGUUCUCGUCUCAAGAUCCCGGCUCAACCAGUUUUUAAAACAUUGAUUACACUUGAGGACGUGUUACUUGUUUUGCUUUUUUUAUCGCUAUCUAUUAAUAAAUUAUUUGCCGUUUCCAAAAAAAAUCUAUUAAUAUAAACAUAUCUAACGUUUAUUUCUUGUUAACUUUUUUUUCUUUAUCAUAUAUCUCCUUUACUAAUACAUCCUAUUGGAAAAUUGGUUAUUUUUCAUUUUUGAGCAUUAAUUUCAAACUAUAAAUAUAAUCAAAAUGGAUAAAUGAUUAUAUGUUUGUCUUCUCCCCUAGUAUACAUUUAUUUUGAUAUAUCACAUGUCCAAAACGGAUUUAAAAUAAAUGAAAAUUUGUAUGUUAAAAUGAGGUGUUUGAAAGAAAUUAACAAAUGAAUUAAUUGGCUUUUAUUUCAUUCCACAUGGGUGGGAGCAUGAAAAGAAAAUGAGUUUAUAAUUACAAAGACUUAUUAUUCUUGUAAAUGUGAACAAGAGGCUCUCUUUUGCACGCAUACCGGGUGCAAAUGUGAAUAAGAUUGGUUUUGGUUCACUGAACUUAUAUGUGGAGUGUUAUGAUGAGUGUGAGCAACAGAUGCUCAUAUACCUCCCAUGUCACUGAGAUUGUCAUCACCAAAGAAAGUUAGACCUGGUAUCUAAUUUAAAAUCCAACAAAAAUUUAUAGUUGAUUGAGUGUUGAUUCUUAAGUUCUAUUAGGUAUUAUUUUGGUUUUGAAGCCAUGACAUCUCAAAGCUAUUUGUACGGCGGCGCUCUAUCUUUUUGAUGUACAUGAACUAUUGACUAUUAUUAGCUUUGUUGAUCUUCUAAUGCUUAACUUUUGGUUUUUUUUUUGGUUGUUGAGUGUUGAUUCUUAAGUUUUAUUAGGUGUUAUUUUGGUUUUGAAGCCAUAGCAACUAAAAACUAUUUGUAUGAUGGUGCUUCCAAUGGUGAUCUAUCUUUUUGAUGUACAUGAACUACUAGCAUUGUAAAUGUAAAUGGUUAGAUUAAGGUUUUUUUUUUGUAGGUUGAAGAUUUUAUUGGAGAUAGUUACUACUUACAAAGAGCAUUGUAAAUGGGAUUCAUAGAUAGAUGGUGAGAUUGGUGUGUGGUGGUGAUUAGUGACACUGUAAAUGGGAGUCAGUGGAUGUGGGUUGGAGGCCGAAGGAUUGUCAGUGGGAGGCGGUUGUGGUUUUGGUUUCGGAGGAGUAAGGGCAGAGAGAUGAACCAUUGUGGGUGAUGAAAAUAAAAGGGAUGCGGUUUGGGUUUUUUUUCUUUAAUUAAAAAACGUUUUAUGAAAAAAGAAAUGUUUGGGUUUUUUUGUUUAAUUAAAAAACGUUUUAUAAAAAAAGAAAUGUAUAUUAAUCAUUUAAUAAAUAUUAAUUGAUAUUUUUAACCGUAUUAGUCAUAAGAAACAGAUUUUCUAUUCUUAAAGAUCACUUCGUAUCAAAAUUCUCAUAAGGACUGGAACCUUUUGUAAACCAACAAGACCAUUUAUAUAAUUUUUUCUAUAUUUUACUUUUAAGUCAUACUAAUUUAGUAUUAUAUGUUUUUAUAAAUAACAUUAUUUCUCUUAUUUCUUAUUGUAGUAACGCUAUAAUUUUAAAAUUGUAAAAUAUUUACAAGUGUUAGAUUACAUCAGGGGCGCAACUAGGGGUUUUAGGGGUAGCAGGUGGUACUCCUUCAAUUUUUCGGUUUUAAUUUUUUUCCAAUGUAGUGUACAAUUUUCAAUGUGCUACACCUUGGACUUUUAUGGUUGUGCUACUGGAUCUCAUAUUAUUAUUAGAAAGUUAAGCACCUUAUUAUUUUUUUAGAACAACAACUUUAUUAAGUAAAACUAGCAAGACGCUAGAAAGAAAAAUAGUUACAUGGAAGUAAUAGACAAAAUUGGAUCCUGCAACGAGACAACCCAAUUGACAAGUAGUUUUACGACACCUACUACUAGCCCAAAUGAAAUUUUGAGUCAUUAGCUUAUCAAACAAUAAACAUUUUCUAGGCUUGACUUUACCAAAAAGUAAAGCAGUUCUAAAACACCAAAUCGACCACCAAAGAGUAAAACAAACUGCCUCUAGAAAAUCUUGACAAAUUGAAGACAAACGCAAAGCGACAAUUCAGGCAAACCAAUCUUGGAAAAAAAAACAAAGUAGGCGUCUGAACAUUCCAUCAUAUGCAAACAAGAUUCAAUAAGUCUCUAGCUAAAUCACAUUCGAAGAACAAGUGUAUAUUAGUCUCAACUUCCUUCUCGCAAAUAGGGCAUAAAAUAGAAUUAAUGUCAAUCCCUCUUUGAGAUAAGUUAUACCGAGAAUGUAAUUUGUUCAAAAAAGAUGACAAACAAAAACAUUAACUUUAAUAUGCAUAAGGCGGCACCAUCUAGUCACUGUAUGCGAGACAAUAAAAAGAUUUUUUAUCGAUUAACAGAGCUCACAGAGAAAGAGUUGGAACCAUUGAGCGACCAACUCCACCUAUCUGCAGACGAAGAAAGCAAAACCGAGGACAUCAAGUCUGAAAUUAGACCAUUGCUCAACCUUUAUCCCCUCUUAGUUUUCUUCUAAAAAAGUAUCUCAACCCGGUUGAAAGCAAAACCAAAGAAAGCACCUUGUUAUUACAUGUAAAAGAAUAUACAUAUGUUGUUAUUAGAGGUAGAGAAAUACAAAAUGCAUUGAUAUUAUAUUUAAAUAGUUACAUAUUAUGUAAAUAUAUUGUUAUCGUAAUUAAUAACAAUUAAAGUAAAAUGUUUAGUAAAUAUUCUUGUUGGUUUGAUGGUUGAAUAUUUUUGUGGUAAUAGACGCUUAUACAUAAAAAAUAAAAUAAAAUUAUAGGUACUAUCUUUAUGAAACUGAAGAUGUUGCAUUAAAGAUAAUUGGAAAGCAAUUAUAGCAAUAUAAAUUUUAUACAAAAACACUUGUAGGUAUACAAUUAGUGUUCGAAAGUGUGGUAUAUAUCGAGUUUAAGGUGACAAUAAAAAAUUAAACAGAGGAUUAAACUUUGACAAAAAUAAUCUUUCUACUACAAUGUAUGAUGCAAAAACAUUAAAAUUUACCAAGAGAAGUGAACUAAUAACUAUUGGAAUAUAUAAACUCAGGAUUUCAACACAAAAACUCUCAUACAUAAUGAAGAUCAAAGAAGACACUUGAUAGGUUAUGAAACUUGAACUAUAGUUAUACAACAUUUUAAAAAUCUUUCCACUCCAUUUAUUCACCCAUCCGAAUUAUGCAUCGGAGACCUUCACCUUUAAGCAUCAAAUCAAAAGCCUUAUUGAUCUCAGAAAAUGGCAAUUCAUGUGUAAUGAACUUCUCCAACUCAAGUUCCUGCACAAAAUCAACUCAAGUUCAUCAUGCUUCCAUGCCAUUUUAUUCAUUUAUAAUUCAACUUUGGAGCUAUAAAAAGGGUUGUUACCUUAUUCAUAUACUUUUCAACCACAGAAGGAAUAUCUGAUCGAGGUUUAUAGUUUCCAAAAAAAGUUCCCUUCAGAGUCCUUUCGUUCAACAGAUUCAAUGGACUUGUCUUGAAAACAGCAUCUUUAUGUGGAACACCCACAAGAACAGCAACACCCCAACCCUGUAAAAUUUUCAAUAUUUGUUAUUGUGAAAUUAAACAUGAAUCAUUAUAUGAGUGAGAUGAAUUGAUUAAAUUCAU